UUUUUUAUUUUCAGUUUCUCUAGCAGAAGUAUUAGGUUUAGCGGCCGCUUCUUCUUCUUCCUCUCAGUCACAUGCGUUUGUUUUCAGAUUCUCAGUUUCAAUAUCAUCCAUGAUCAACAAAUACAACAACAAAUAACUCAGUAACUGAAACAAUAUGGAAGAACCAAGUCAAGAUACACAUCAAAUUGGAGUUGGAUCAUCUAAUGUAUCUAGUCAAUCUACAGCUGGGGCCGGACUAUGUACCAGAUGAUUGCUCAAGCAUUGAGGAAGCAAUAUUGAGUGCUUAUCCAGUACCAGAGGAGUUUGAUGGUCCAAUGAUGCUUGACUAAUGAAGUAAUGGUUGUUGAAGUUCAUAUCUUGUUGCAGACUUGAGAUGGAAAGGAACUAUGGUCUAUGGAAGUGCUGGUUUACAUUUAACACUUUAUGUGAAUCUUUGAACACUAUUUUCCUUCGGUUAUUAACUUAUUAUGUACAUAUGUAGUAGUUAUGUUAGUUGGUCACUUGGUCGGUUGGACUUGAUCUUGAAGAACUUAAGUAGCUGGAUGAUUGCAGUACUCUUGCAGACUUGGAAGACUUGCAGUAACUUUACUUUGAACUUAUGUCAGACUUUGAAGUUGGUUUUUAUCAGUUUAUGUAAUUAUGUUAGUUGGUUUUAAAGAACUUAUGUUAAUUAUGUCUAUGUUGUUAUGUUA